rnacentral:rRNA from 1 species
UAUACGACUCUCGGCAACGGAUAUCUCGGCUCUCGCAUCGAUGAAGAACGUAGCGAAAUGCGAUACUUGGUGUGAAAUGCAGAAUCCCGUGAACCAUCGAGUCUUUGAAUGCAAGUUGCGCCCGAGGCCUUUCGGUUGAGGGCACGCCUGCCUGGGCGUCACGC